AUAAUUUUUUGUAUCUCAAUUUCUGUGCAUGUAGCCAAACAAGCCCUUUAUUUUCUGCUUUCCUUGGUGCCCAUACACAGAGAGGAACCAAAUUUAAACAUGCUUUGCUUUUCUUUUCCUUUUUCUAAAAACAAAGCCUUUCUCCCCUUCUCGGUCUGCAUCCGUGAGAGUGAGGGGACCAAUUUUUAUUCCAUGAGAGUGUGAGAGGAAAAACUGAAUGCCACUUUUUCUUUUCCAAUUUAUACAUAUAUAUAUACACACAUGGGAGAGUGGAA
rnacentral:lncRNA from 1 species